GACGAACGCUGGCGGCGUGCUUAACACAUGCAAGUCGAACGGUAAGGCCCUUCGGGGUACACGAGUGGCGAACGGGUGAGUAACACGUGGGUGAUCUGCCCUGCACUUCGGGAUAAGCCUGGGAAACUGGGUCUAAUACCGGAUAGGACCCUGGGAUGCAUGUCCUGGGGUGGAAAGCUUUUGCGGUGUGGGAUGGGCCCGCGGCCUAUCAGCUUGUUGGUGGGGUGAUGGCCUACCAAGGCGACGACGGGUAGCCGGCCUGGGAGGGUGACCGGCCACACUGGGACGGAGCUACGGCCCAGACUCCUACGGGAGGCAGCAGUGGGGAAUAUUGCACAAUGGGCGCAAGCCUGAUGCAGCGACGCCGCGUGAGGGAUGACGGCCUUCGGGUUGUAAACCUCUUUCAGCACCGACGAAGCGCAAGUGACGGUAGGUGCAGAAGAAGGACCGGCCAACUACGUGCCAGCCGCCGCCGUAA
rnacentral:rRNA from 1 species